GUGCUAGCUUCAGCAGCACAUAUACUAAAAUGGGAAUCAUACAGAGAUUAGCAUGGACCCUGCACAAGGACGAUGGAAAGACGAUGAACUGUUAGCUAUAAAC
ensembl:snRNA U6 U6 spliceosomal RNA